rnacentral:rRNA from 1 species
UCACGCCUACGGGGCGCAGCAGUGGGGAAUAUUGCACAAUGGGGGAAACCCUGAUGCAGCGACGCCGCGUGAGUGAAGAAGUAUCUCGGUAUGUAAAGCUCUAUCAGCAGGAAAGAUAAUGACGGUACCUGACUAAGAAGCCCCGGCUAACUACGUGCCAGCAGCCGCGGUAAUACGUAGUGGGCAAGCGUUAUCCGGAUUUACUGGGUGUAAAGGGAGCGUAGGUGGCAGGGCAAGUCAGAUGUGAAAACCCGGGGCUCAACUCCGGGAGUGCAUUUGAAACUGUCCAGCUAG